UACGUAGGGUGCGAGCGUUAAUCGGAAUUACUGGGCGUAAAGCGUGCGCAGGUGGUUUCGCAAGUCGAGUGUGAAAGCCCCGGGCUUAACCUGGGAAUUGCGCUCGAAACUACGAGACUUGAGUGUGGCAGAGGGAGGUGGAAUUCCACGUGUAGCGGUGAAAUGCGUAGAGAUGUGGAGGAACACCGAUGGCGAAGGCAGCCUCCUGGGCCAACACUGACACUCAGGCACGAAAGCGUGGGGAGCAAAC
rnacentral:rRNA from 1 species